rnacentral:rRNA from 1 species
GGAGUCUGGGCCGUGUCUCAGUCCCAAUGUGGCCGGUCAACCUCUCAGUUCGGCUACUGAUCGUCGCCUUGGUGGGCCGUUACCUCACCAACAAGCUAAUCAGACGCGGGUCCAUCGUAUGCCGAUAAAUCUUUUCCGUCUGUACCAUGCGGUACUAGCGGGUUAUGCGGUAUUAGCAGUCGUUUCCAACUGUUGUCCCCCUGCAUACGGCAGGUUACCCACGCGUUACUCACCCGUCCGCCACUAAGUCACAAGUGAAAUCAAUCCGAAGAAAUCAUUCACAAGUGCUUCGUUCGACUUGCAUGUGUUAAGCACGCCGCCAGCGUUCAUC